rnacentral:snRNA from 1 species
GAUGCUAACGCAAUGUGA